CAAGACUUCAAACAAAUUUAAUGUCAAUCUAAUUAUUCAAACCAAAAAUUCAUAAUAAGGGUUCAUCACAUUCUAGCAAUAUAAAAAUCUAGCCACGCAUAAUGUCGAAAUUAAACAUGGAAGAGUUAAAAGACAUCACCAAAAAUUUUAACGAUUUCUGGUGCGUAUAAAAUUCUAGUAGGCAGCUCGUUUUAUUUUCACAAUAUGUUGCAAUUGUUGAAUUUGAAGACCAACAAAUUGGCCGACGUCUUCUGUCUUUCAUGUAUAUAAAUUCCAGCAGGCAUUUAAUUUCCAACAAGCAGCUUGUUUUCUCUUAUUAUUCAAUUUCUUAUUCCUGUGCGUGUACAUGUUUCUUGCAACCACUGAAUUUAUUAAUUGAAGAAGUCAGCCUACAUUUGCCCAAAGCUGCUGACUUUCUGUAUUUUUGUUCCUGUUUAUGUAUGUGGUUGAUUUCAAUAAGAAUCAGCCCUUUAUUUUUUCUCCAAGCUGCUGCCAAUUGUAUGUUUAUCUAUUUAAUUCCAGCAACCGGCAGCCUCCUCUUGUCUUCAGUGCGUGUUUCCUCCUCCGUGUUUUUGCCAAAAAUCCCCAACCAGUUGUCAACUUUUUAAAUUAGAAGAGAGACUCCCCAAAAAGAAAUCAACUGCCGACUUCUCUUGUGAAUGUAUUUUCUCUCCAGCCAACUGCAAUGUGUUCUUUUCUCCUGUACGUGUUCUGCCGUCUAUUUCCACGUAUGAGAUAUAUUAAUUGAUAAUGUGGCAGCUCUCUCCUCCUCCCAGCAGCAGCAAAAAUUGACUCCAAAUUGAAAUCCAAUUCUUCUCCCAGCCGCCCCACCUUUUCUGUGUAAU
rnacentral:lncRNA from 1 species